AUGUGGUGGGAAAGACGAAAAUUGAUGCACAAGGAGACAACUCAGAAUGCGCAUCAGAUUUCUAUGGGGAUUCUAGCCCUUAUGACAGCCUUCGGUAAUGCAUCAUCCCCCCAAGGCCUCUAUGAAAAGGGGGAUUGGUCUUGUCCUCCUAGGGGAUUUGUGGAACUUAAUGUCGACGCUUCUUUUGACCACGAUCUGCUUAAGGGCACAAUGGGGGUAGUCAUUAGAGACGACAAAGGCAGAUUUAUCGCUGGAGGGAAUGGGAAGAUUGACUAUUGCACGGAUGUCUUGAUGGCCAAAGCCUUGGCUCUCAAAUUCGAUCUAACAUUGGGGCAAAGGACGGGAUGUAACCGCCUCAUUAUUAACCCAGACAAACUGGAGGUGGUUGAUACCAUGAAGGAUGGAGGACGAGAAGCAAAUAAAGUUGCUCAUGAGCUCGCUAGAUUAGCUAGAUUUUGUUUGACUUCUAACUGA
rnacentral:rRNA from 1 species